rnacentral:rRNA from 1 species
AGCGAACGCUGGCGGCAUGCUUAACACAUGCAAGUCGCACGGUCAGCAAUGGCAGUGGCGGACGGGUGAGUAACACGUAGGAAUCUAUCCUGGGGUGGGGGACAACAGCGGGAAACUGCUGCUAAUACCGCAUGAUACCUGAGGGCCAAAGACGAAAGUCGUUUGAGGAGGAGCCUGCGUCUGAUUAGGUAGUUGGUGGGGUAAAGGCCUACCAAGGCGACGAUCAGUAGCUGGUCUGAGAGGAUGAUCAGCCACAUUGGGACUGAGACACGGCCCAAACUCCUACGGGAGGCAGCAGUGGGGAAUAUUGGACAAUGGGCGAAAGCCUGAUCCAGCAAUGCCGCGUGUGUGAAGAAGGUCUUCGGAUUGUAAAGCACUUUUGGCAGGGACGAUGAUGACGGUACCUGCAGAAUAAGCCCCGGCUAACUUCGUG